GUUCAUUCCUGAACAUAGACUAAAAUUGGAACAAUACAGAGAAGAUUAGCAUAGCCACUGCGCAAUGAUGACAUGCAAAUUCGUAAGUGAUCACCUCCGAUU
rfam:Oesophagostomum dentatum strain OD-Hann O_dentatum-1.0_Cont4007.2, whole genome shotgun sequence.